CAUGGGAAUUUUCCGUGACGUCAGACCCCACAUACAGAGACUUACUGUAUUUUUUAAAUUGCUGUAUACUACUGUAACCGUCUCUUUGGGGCCAUUAUACUGAGGUCGUUUUAUUUUCCUCAUUUCUUACAUUUGGAUUGACACAAUUUGCCCUGCACCAUGUCUACAACGCCGCAGCAGCUUGGGACUGACUACUGGACCUGUUACAUCGCUUCUAAUGGUUGGAAAAUCCGUUUGUACUUCGUGUCAGAAACAGCGCGAGCGCUUGGAGUACAUCUGUACAUCAGAAAUAUACCAGGGCAUCACAUUACUGUGCGCAUCCACUGUAGAUAAUAUAUAUAAUGGGGUGCUUUUUUAUCGAGUCGCGCCGCGCCACUCGCGUCCGAGGAAGACACGGAAGCAGCGGGACAGUGCGGCGGCGCGCCGUGGAAGAGCUCCGGAGAACAUCUAUACUGUGUGUCGAUGCACCUUACGAGAGAAUAAGACCAGCAAGCAAGGCAACUGCAAUGAAGCAUCAAGAAAGACAUGAGCAGGCCAGCCACCCUGAGAUUGAUAAUUCAUGAGAAGACAUUUCUGUCAAAGUGGUGGGUGAGCAGAGAUGAUGGCCACGUUUUGGAGCAGCACCUGGGUUUUGCAGAGGG